rnacentral:misc_RNA from 1 species
CUGCUAAUCACGGCACAAGCGUUGCACCCGAGGCGCCAAGAUCUGCUGUGACAGUGACGGUUCAGGUUCCAAGGGCAACAAGAUCCGAAGAGGCAGCGACGGUCCAGGUUUCUGCUUUGGACGAUGAAGUCUUUUCAGCGCCCCUUCCUGUUCCUGAGUUGCCGGCUCUCUCGGGGGACGGGUUCUGGCCGGCGGCUGUUGGGGUAAAGAGCUACGGGGGUGAAGCCGAAGCAAAAAACCGUUUCCGUCCCGAGGCUGCCUCGGGCCUCACGUCUGGGGCACGCGUACAGCCGCCCAACAGUAAUGAGGCACUCCUGGCAGUUGAAGUGGUUGGGCCGCUGGAAUGGGCCAGGCAAAC